rnacentral:rRNA from 1 species
GACGAACCGUCCGAACGUUAUUCGGAAUCACUGGGCUUAAAGGGUGCGUAGGCGGCGCGGAAAGUUCGGUGUGAAAUCCCUCGGCUCAACCGAGGAACUGCGCCCAAAACUACCGUGCUCGAGGGAGAUAGAGGUGAGCGGAACUUAGGGUGGAGCGGUGAAAUGCGUUGAUAUCCUAAGGAACACCGGUGGCGAAAGCGGCUCACUGGAUCUCUUCUGACGCUGAGGCACGAAAGCUAGGGUAGCGAACGGGAUUAGAUACCCCGGUAGUCCUAGCCGUAAACGAUGAGCACUGGAUUGGAGGGUCCUCCAUAGCCUUCCAGUCGCAACGAAAGCGUUAAGUGCUCCGCCUGGGGAGUAUGGUCGCAAGGCUGAAACUCAAAG